rnacentral:rRNA from 1 species
CUAGAGCUUUCAUACAGGUGCUGCACGGCUGUCGUCAGCUCGUGUCGUGAGAUGUUGGGUUAAGUCCCGCAACGAGCGCAACCCUCGUGUUUAGUUACUAACAGUUCGGCUGAGGACUCUAAACAGACUGCCUGGGUAACCAGGAGGAAGGUGAGGACGACGUCAAGUCAUCAUGGCCCUUACGGCCAGGGCUACACACGUGCUACAAUGGGGUAUACAAAGAGCUGCAAUACGGUGACGUGGAGCAAAUCUCAUAAAAUAUCUCCCAGUUCGGAUUGAAGUCUGCAACUCGACUUCAUGAAGUUGGAAUCGCUAGUAAUCGUAGAUCAGCAAUGCUACGGUGAAUACGUUCCCGGGUCUUGUACUCACCGCCCGUCACACCAUGGGAAUUGAAUUCAUUCGAAGCGGGGAUGCUAAAAUAGCUACCUUCCACAGUGGAUUUAGUAACUAGGGUGAAGUCGUAACAAGGUA